UUUUACAUUCUGUGUUUUGCCAGUAUAGGGAGAGGUUGCUUUGUGGAGCAGGGACAGGCUGUUAGGGACACCAAAUGCUAGCUAAUAGGGCCACAAAAGUCCUUUUAAGGACUGGUAUAAGUGUGCUAUCGAUAAGUGUGAUAUGCUGGGGGUUGUUAUAUACUUAUAAUAUACUUUCUAACAUAGAAACAUAGAAAACCUAGA